AUUGAACGCUGGCGGUAUGCUUAACACAUGCAAGUCGAACGGAAACGACAGGGAGCUUGCUCCUUGGGCGUCGAGUGGCGGAUGGGUGAGUAAUACAUAGGAAUCUGCCUUUUAGUUUGGGAUAACUGUCCGAAAGGAUGGCUAAUACCGGAUAUUGACUACGGUUGAAAGGGGGCUCUUUGAGCUCUCGCUAAAAGAUGAGCCUAUGUGGGAUUAGCUUGUUGGUAGGGUAAAGGCCUACCAAGGCGACGAUCUCUAGCUGGUUUGAGAGGAUGACCAGCCACACUGGGACUGAGACACGGCCCAGACUCCUACGGGAGGCAGCAGUGGGAAUCUUGGACAAUGGGGGGCAACCCUGAUCCAGCAAUACCGCGUGUGUGAAGAAGGCCCUCGGGUUGUAAAGCACUUUUGUCAGGGAGAAUGGUAAUUGUAAUUAAUACCUGCAGUUACUGAUGUUACCUGAAGAAUAAGCACCGGCUAACUCCGUGCCAGCAGCCGC
rnacentral:rRNA from 1 species